GGGUUGUGAGGUUAAGCGACUAAGCGUACACGGUGGAUGCCCUGGCAGUCAGAGGCGAUGAAGGACGUGCUAAUCUGCGAAAAGCGCCGGCGAGGUGAUAUGAACCUUUGACCCGGCGAUGUCCGAAUGGGGAAACCCAGUGCAAUUCGUUGCACUAUCGUUAACUGAAUACAUAGGUUAACGAGGCGAACCGGGGGAACUGAAACAUCUAAGUACCCCGAGGAAAAGAAAUCAACCGAGAUUCCCCCAGUAGCGGCGAGCGAACGGGGAGCAGCCCAGAGUCUGAAUCAGCUUGUGUGUUAGUGGAAGCGUCUGGAAAGUCGCACGGUACAGGGUGACAGUCCCGUACACGAAAGCACACAGGUUGUGAACUCGAAGAGUAGGGCGGGACACGUGGUAUCCUGUCUGAAUAUGGGGGGACCAUCCUCCAAGGCUAAAUACUCCUGACUGACCGAUAGUGAACCAGUACCGUGAGGGAAAGGCGAAAAGAACCCCGGCGAGGGGAGUGAAAAAGAACCUGAAACCGUGUACGUACAAGCAGUGGGAGCACCUUCGUGGUGUGACUGCGUACCUUUUGUAUAAUGGGUCAGCGACUUAUAUUCUGUAGCAAGGUUAACCGUAUAGGGGAGCCGAAGGGAAACCGAGUCUUAACUGGGCGUUAAGUUGCAGGGUAUAGACCCGAAACCCGGUGAUCUAGCCAUGGGCAGGUUGAAGGUUGGGUAACACUAACUGGAGGACCGAACCGACUAAUGUUGAAAAAUUAGCGGAUGACUUGUGGCUGGGGGUGAAAGGCCAAUCAAACCGGGAGAUAGCUGGUUCUCCCCGAAAGCUAUUUAGGUAGCGCCUCGUGAACUCAUCUUCGGGGGUAGAGCACUGUUUCGGCUAGGGGGCCAUCCCGGCUUACCAACCCGAUGCAAACUACGAAUACCGAAGAAUGUUAUCACGGGAGACACACGGCGGGUGCUAACGUCCGUCGUGAAGAGGGAAACAACCCAGACCGCCAGCUAAGGUCCCAAAGUCAUGGUUAAGUGGGAAACGAUGUGGGAAGGCACAGACAGCCAGGAUGUUGGCUUAGAAGCAGCCAUCAUUUAAAGAAAGCGUAAUAGCUCACUGGUCGAGUCGGCCUGCGCGGAAGAUGUAACGGGGCUAAACCAUGCACCGAAGCUGCGGCAGCGACGCUUA
rnacentral:rRNA from 1 species